rnacentral:tRNA from 1 species
GGGCCCGUAGCUCAGCUGGAUAGAGCACUUCGCUACGAACGAAGGGGUCGGGCGUUCGAAUCGCUCCGGGCCCGCCA